rnacentral:lncRNA from 1 species
GCCAACUGCAGCGUGUCCCCUUGGAACCCAGGCACUGGGCCGGAUCUGGCAAACUGUUCACAUUCCUCCACGUCCAGGUUGAACUGCUGCAAGGCGCCCAGCGUCAGCUGCCGCACUUCGGCUUCCAGCAGCAGCUGCAUCAGUGAGGUGGACAGGUGUUUGCAUGCUGACAUGCAGGCGGUCUGUGCCACCUUGCCCGACAUGGUAGAGUGGGC